GCGCCAUGGGACCCUUUCACUCUGUUGUCUCCCUGAUGACAGCUGUCAGUCUGUCGCUGAGUGGACAUGCAAUAUUUCAACAAAAUCUGAAGAGAAACUGAAAGGGCAGGAGCUGAAAUACUCGGUUUAAACACACACAGCCAGACCUCUCUGGAGAUCUCCUCAAGCACCACCUUUCAUCCUGCUGAAGCGUCCCUGGAAAUCAUCCCAAGAGAAAGAGCCCACAAGCCCCGUGAAACUUCAGCAGGAAUGCGAAGGGUGCUAAAGCCAGUUGUCCAGCCGAGGGGCGGGGAAAUCGCUCACUCUCCCGGCGCGCCUCGGCACCAACCUCCGGACCUCGUGGCGACGCCCGGCGGUCGCGUGGGGCCAGGAGCGAGACCGCGCCCUCCGGCCCGGCAGGGGCGCCCGGUUUUGGCCCAGGCUCUUGUACUGCUCACAGGUGUCCUGGACAUCUUUGCGAAGAACAUUUGAUAAUAAUCACCCAGCUUGGCUGCAGCACAAACACUACGUGGACUUGGGGGCCCUUGAUGGAAAAUCACUUACUCUAUUCCUGAGAAGUAAUAUUUUCAGUUUACUUCACACAGACAACACUUUUUCAAAUUCAAAGUGGAUGUCUGUUUCCAUAGCCCAGUUCACAGAUCUUCAGAGCAUGAGGAAUCAACUCAAGGGACCUUAUCCAAGUCUGGUCCUAAUUUAGAUAGCAAGAUUCUGGACUUUGAGAUGAUGCCAUAAUGGGAUGAGACUUUGGUCACCUUGAAAGGGGUCAAUGCAUUUUACAUAUGGAAGAAAUAGUAAAUACAAAAAAUGUAAAUAAUUUGUGGCUGUAGGAAAGAUGGUAGCAGAGUAACCAUGUCUGUAAAUUAGUUGAUAUUUCUCUCUUUGAGAGGUUGGACCUAUUUCCCUUCCUAUUGAAUCUCCACUGCCUGGAUUCCUUUGAGCAUUACACCAUGGUAGGGGAAUGACACUAUGUCAGUUCUACGCCUACACUUUAAGGGAACUCUAAGCCUCUGCCCUGACAUCUUAAAGCUCUGAGAUGUCAUUUAAAAUCUAAUUCCCAGAUUGGACACCACAGGAAGAAGGUAAGGAAUACAGCUAAGGUCCCCUUUCCAGAUAACCCUUCCUAGUGCCAGGCAUGUGAUAAAGCCAUUGGCCUUCCAGAAGAGUCCAGCUGAAUACCACUGAGUAUGCCAGUAAAUGUCAAAUAGAGAAAAAGCACCCUAGUAAACCUGCCAAAAUUCUGAUUCACAAAGCCAUGAGAUAAUAGCGAAAUGCUUUUAGUUUCAAGCCAUGUGUUCUGAGGUAAGUAGUUUUGCCACCAGAGAUAACUGUCACAGCCCCCAAAGAAACUGAGUUGGAGGGACUGAAAAUCUGAGCGGAAUGUGUAUAUUUUCAUCAAUGGAAUCAGUGAUUGAAUUAAAGAUAGAAGCUUUAGGGAUUGAAAAUAAAGAUAGACCUUUGGUGAGAAUGCAUUAUGAUCCCAAGGCAACUGGGAAUAUUUACAAGUUUUUAAUCCACAUAAGCAAAUAGAUCUCUGGCAAGCCAUGUGAAUAAUGAAUAUCAGUGCAUGUAAUUUAUGAGUGUAUCCAUCACUGUAAGAACUAAAAGUGGCCAUGGGCUUAGAUGAAUUUGAGGAAUAGAGUAGGUAGGGCUUCAGGAGUUCAGAUCCUAAAGAGUGAUUGGCCUUCUUCCUCAGAUAGAAACUUGAGGUCUUCAGACACUUGAUAAAAAAUUCUUACAUUAUUCAUUAUAUCCAUUCAUUCAGCAAUAUUUAUUGUAUCAUCUACCUAUGCAAGUUCAGCAUAACAUUCUGUUAGGAAUACAAAAGAGGAGAUUCUGUCCUUGCCCUCCAGGGACUUACAGUAGGUUAGAAAAUGUCAGUCAAGGGCUAAAGUAAUGCUAAUGUACAAAAGAAAAUAUUGAUUUCUAGCAUUGGAGAGGAUUGACUGGCUCCAAGAUUUUAGAAUCUAGUCAAGGAGCUUCCUAAGUUGAAGAGGUAAGAAAUCAGUCCCUGAAUAGACUGGGGAACCAUAAAAGGGCAAAGGAAUAAAGAAGGAUCCAGUGACCAGGUAAUGCUUACCAAGGUCACAGUGCAAUUUGCAGAGAUUGAUUAUAUCCUGAACCCUGCUACUUCAAGGAGCCUUUAGAACCAGGAAGAUACUAGAAUCUCAUUUGGGGGCAUCUGCAGGAAAGUGCAAAUUACUCCAGAUAAAAAAAUUAGAGGCCCACCUGAGAUAGAACCAAUAAAAGUAGUUGAGGUGUCAGGAAUUCCAUGAGAAUUCUGCUAUGGGAAAUUCUAACAAAAUUCCUGUUGGAAGAGUAGGAUUCUGACCAAGUUGAAUAGAUUUUAUGCCGGAUGUUGCUGCUGAAAUCCCAGAGCCAGUGUUCCACUUGUCCUCAGUCCCUCUCUCUUGUUUUCACCCAAUCCUCUUCCUCCUAGAAAAUUAUUCAUGCCCACCCAGUAAUUACACUUCUAGGAAUUUCCCAAAGAAAACAAAAUCUCUGAUUCAAAAAGAUAGAUACACCUGUAUGUUUAUUA